rnacentral:rRNA from 2 species
UCGCGAAAACUUCACAAUGGGGGAAACCCCGAUGAGGGAAUUCCAAGUGCCAGCACAUUGUGUUGGCUGUUCUCUGGUCUAAAAAACCGGAGAAGUAAGGGCCGGGUAAGACGGGUGCCAGCCGCCGCGGUAAUACCCGCGGCCCAAGUGGUGGUCGAUAUUAUUGAGCCUAAAACGUCCGUAGCCGGUCUUGUAAAUCCUUGGGUAAAUCGACCAGCUCAACUGUUCGAAGUCCGGGGAGACUGCAAGACUUGGGAUCGGGAGAGGUGAGAGGUACUUCUGGGGUAGGGGUAAAAUCCUGUAAUCCUAGAAGGACCACCGGUGGCGAAGGCGUCUCACUAGAACGAAUCCGACGGUGAGGGACGAAGCCCUGGGGCGCAAACGGG